rnacentral:rRNA from 1 species
UACGGAGGGUGCAAACGUUGCUCGGAAUCAUUGGGCGUAAAGCGCGCGUAGGCGGCGAAGCAAGUUGGAUGUGAAAGCCCUGGGCUCAACCUAGGAUGUGCAUACAAAACUGCUUCGCUUGAAUCUCGGAGGGGGUCAGGGAAUUCCCGGUGUAGAGGUGAAAUUCGUAGAUAUCGGGAGGAACACCAGUGGCGAAGGCGGCCGCCGUGGACCU